UACGUAGGGGGCGAGCGUUGUCCGGAAUCAUUGGGCGUAAAGCGCGUGUAGGCGGCUCGAUAAGUCCGGUGUGAAACCUUGGGGCUCAACCCCAAGCCUGCACUGGAUACUGCCGAGCUAGAGUCCGGGAGGGGAGAGCGGAAUUCCUAGUGUAGCGGUGAAAUGCGCAGAUAUUAGGAAGAACACCAGUGGCGAAGGCGGUGCUCUGGGCCGGAACUGACGCUGAGGAGCGAAAGCGUGGGGAGCAAACAGG
rnacentral:rRNA from 1 species